GUUAAAAUGAAAAACUCCUAUAGAAUAGGUAACGUAUGAAGCAGACUUCAACAAAGACAGCCAUUUUGCAUGGAAGUUGAGUGCGUAAUCUCGUAUUACACUGUCAAAGAAAUAGCGAAAAACGCAUAGAAAUCAUUUGGUCCCCAGGAUAAUUUUAAUAUUGUUAUAACCAGCAUAAAAUUCUACGCCAUAUAUGUUAAAAUAAAGAAUUCCUAUAGAAUAGGUAACGUUUGAAGGGGACUUCAACAUAGACAGCCAUUUUCCAUGGAAUUUGAGUGCAUAAUCUCGUAUUACACUGUCAAAGAAAUAGCGCAAAAACGCAUAGAAAUCAUUCGGUCCCCAGGAUAAUUUUAGUAUCCUUAUAACCAGCAUAAAAUUCUACGCCAGAUAUGUUAAAAUAAAGAAUUCCUAUAGAAUAGGUAACGUAUGAAGGAGACCUCAACAUAGACAGCCAUUUUGCAUGCAAGUUGAAUGCGUAAUCUCGUAUUACACUUUCAAAGAAAUAGCGCAUAAACACAUAGAAACCAUUCGGUCUCCAGGAUAAUUUUAGUAUUGUGAUAACCAGCAUAAAAUUCUACGCCUUAUAUGUUAAAAUAAAAAAUUCCUAUAGAAUAGGUAACGUAUGAAGGGGACUUCAACAAAGACAGCCAUUUUCCAUGGAAGUUGAGUGCAUAAUCUCGUAUUACACUGCCAAAGAAAUAGCGAAAAAACGCAUAGAAAUCAUUCGGUCCCCAGGAUAAUUUUAAUAUUGUGAUAACUAGCAUGAAAUUCUACGCCAUAUAUGUUAAAAUAAAGAAUUCCUAUAGAAUAGGUAACGUAUGAAGGGGACUUCAACAUAGACAGCCAUUUUCCAUGGAAUUUGAGUGCAUAAUCUCGUAUUACACUGUCAAAGAAAUAGCGCAAAAACGCAUAGAAAUCAUUCGGUCCCCAGGGUAAUUUUAGUAUUGUGAUAACCAGCAUGAAAUUCUACGCCAUAUAUGUUAAAAUAAAAAACUCCUAUAGAAUAGGUAACGUAUGAAGGAGACUUCAACAUAGACAGCCAUUUUGCAUGGAGGUUGAGUGCGUAGUCUCGUA
rnacentral:lncRNA from 1 species